UACGUAGGGUGCGAGCGUUAAUCGGAAUUACUGGGCGUAAAGCGUGCGCAGGCGGUUUUGCAAGCCGGAUGUGAAAUCCCCGGGCUCAACCUGGGAAUGGCAUUCGGGACUGCAAGGCUGGAGUGCGGCAGAGGAGACUGGAAUUCCUGGUGUAGCAGUGAAAUGCGCAGAUAUCAGGAGGAACACCGGUGGCGAAGGCGGGUCUCUGGGCCGAUACUGACACUGAGGAGCGAAAGCGCGGGGAGCGAACAGG
rnacentral:rRNA from 1 species